rnacentral:rRNA from 1 species
UACGAAGGGAGCGAGCGUUGUUCGGAAUCACUGGGCUUAAAGCGUGCGUAGGUGGAUUGGUAAGUAAGGAGUGAAAUCCCAGGGCUUAACCCUGGAACUGCUCUUUAGACUGCCUGUCUGGAAUUCGGAAGAGGUUGGUGGAACUCCCAGUGUAGAGGUGAAAUUCGCAGAUAUUGGGAAGAACACCGGUGGCGAAGGCGACCAACUAGUCCGACAUUGACACUGAGGCACGAAAGCGUGGGUAGCAAACAGG